GUCCUGCAGUUGUCCAAAGGAGACACAUAAAUGGCAACACUAGAGCACAGUUUGCAGAAAUGAUCAACCUUGAAAACGCCUCUGGUGCUAAUGGUGAUGAAUUAGUGAACACUGUUACUUCUAGCAUUUUGAAUGUUCUGGAUGCCUUUGCUCCUAUGAAGAUGACAAUCAGAUAAAGUAGACAGAAAGCUCCCUGGAUAAACAAUGAUUUGGUCAGCGGACAGAAAAGGCACAGAGCUGAGCAAAAACUCCAGGUUCAUCAUGAAAUCUAUAAGGGAGAGUUGUACACCUACAACCAAACCGUAUGCAGAACAUGGGCAGAUACUUUUCUGAAAUCACUGGAAGCUGCAGCCAGAUCAGUGGAAACUGAGCAGCAGGAGUUGGAGGCUCUGUGGCGCUCGGCUCAGGCUGUGGCGCUCGGCUGUGGCGGCACUGAGCCCCCAUCUGGGUGAAGAAGCAGCUCGGGCCAGGGUGGAGGCCAGCCUGAGAGCAGAGAAACUCGCACAGGACAGCCUGUCCCAAGUGCGGCUGAAGCACUUCAAGCUGACGUUAAGGAUCUGCAGGCUGGAGGCGGAGCUCAGGGAGGAGGAGGAGGAGGAGUUCAACAGGGAGGUCCUGGAGGUCAAAAACCAGCAGCUGGAGGCUGAGCGGCGGCAGAAGGAACUCACUGAAAGAAAAGCUGCAGAGAUAAAACAGCUGAUAAAUGAGAACAUCAGGGUCUCCCAGGUCCUGCCAGAGGUGAAGGAGAAACUCUGCCAGAUUCAGGUGGAGGUCAAGAACAAGCUUUCAGCUGGCAGAGGUGGAGGCCGUGGUGAUGGACAAGAAGGACCUCCUGACCCGGACCAGACAGGCAGGCGAUCACCGGAAAAUCGUCUAUCAUCGCAGCUUCCACCAGACCAACUUCAUCACCAACCCAAGCAAUCCAGAACUCUCCACCGCAACUGGGAUUUGAUAAAACCUUUUUCAACUCACUAGUGGGUCCAGCCCCCAUUCAACAAAACAACUGUGUUGUUUUCUAGAACAUAGUUUCUGCAGAGCAGCAGGAGUUGAUUAGAGUUGUAGGUUGGACUGUUGGCGUGGAGGAAUCCCAUCCCCUCUUCCUCUCCCCAUUGCUAAGAGCUCCUCUUUAUAAUUGCUCUUUCAGUAUCUCACAACCCCUCACACCCCCAACCUAACAUAAGUGGUGCAACUAAAAUCAAGAUCCAUUUCAGAGCUAUCCAGCCAUCCAGUUCUGAUCCAGAUUCCAGCUAAGAUGAGGAAAACUAAGACGUUCAUGGAUCUAUUUGUCUCAUAGUUCAUGAAUCAGAAUGGAGCGGAGCUGGGAGCUUGUGGCCCCUCCCCCAGCGUAUUUCCUAUGUCACAAACAGGAUUAGGAAAUACUCAAAAUGCAAUUUUAACCUUAAUUUUUUAUAUGUGUCCUGCAUCAUCAGAGAAAUGCUACAUAAAAAGGGUUAAAAACACCCAAAACACUUCAAAGCUGAGAUAACAAAAGGCCCCAGCUGUUCCUGGUGAAGUCUGCUUCCUCUGAGACUCCUGACACGAACCAGUUGAGCUGGAUCAGAAUGAAAAUGGGUCUGAAUCUACAGCUUGCAUUGACAGUUCUCUCCUGAUGGGGGCGCUGUGACCCACAGCUGCCCUGUCAUGCUCAGUAGCUGCAGCUGGACACUGCCUGGUUUAACAGUUUGGUGUUUUAAAAAUGUCAUUUCAUGGCUGUGAUUAAUGUCUGUAUUUGUUAGAGUCAAACGUUUACUGUGAUAAACUCAUUAACUAGA